CGCGUAGGCGGCCAUCUAAGUCAGACGUGAAAUCCCCCGGCUUAACCUGGGAACUGCGUCUGAUACUGGAAGGCUUGAGUAUGGGAGAGGGAUGUAGAAUUCCAGGUGUAGCGGUGAAAUGCGUAGAUAUCUGGAGGAAUACCGGUGGCGAAGGCGGCAUCCUGGACCAUUACUGACGCUGAGGCGCGAAAGCUAGGGGAGCAAACGGGAUUAGAUACCCCGGUAGUCCUAGCCCUAAACGAUGAAUACUUGGUGUGGCGGGUAUCGAUCCCUGCCGUGCCGAAGCUAACGCAUUAAGUAUUCCGCCUGGGGAGUACGGUCGCAAGGCUGAA
rnacentral:rRNA from 1 species